ACGGGAGGCAGCAGUGGGGAAUAUUGCACAAUGGAGGGAACUCUGAUGCAGCAACGCCGCGUGAGUGAAGAAGUAUUUCGGUAUGUAAAGCUCUAUCAGCAGGGAAGAAAAUGACGGUACCUGACUAAGAAGCCCCGGCUAACUACGUGCCAGCAGCCGCGGUAAUACGUAGGGGGCAAGCGUUAUCCGGAUUUACUGGGUGUAAAGGGAGCGUAGGUGGCAACGCAAGUCAGAAGUGAAAGCCCGGGGCUCAACUCCGGGACUGCUUUUGAAACUGUGUAGCUAGAGUGCAGGAGAGGUAAGUGGAAUUCCUAGUGUAGCGGUGAAAUGCGUAGAUAUUAGGAGGAACACCGGUGGCGAAGGCGGCUUACUGGACUGUAACUGACACUGAGGCUCGAAAGCGUGGGGAGCAAACAGGAUUAGAUACCCUGGUA
rnacentral:rRNA from 1 species